rnacentral:rRNA from 1 species
UACGUAGGGACCAAGCGUUGUCCGGAAUCAUUGGGCGUAAAGAGCGUGUGGCGGCUUGUUAAGUCUUGCGUGAAAUCUCGGGGCUCAACCCCGAGCGGUCGUGAGAAACUGGCAGGCUAGAGUGCGGGAGAGGAGAGUGGAAUUUCUGGUGUAGCGGUGAAAUGCGCAGAUAUCAGGAAGAACACCCGUGGCGAAGGCGGCUCUCUGGAACGCAACUGACGCUGAGACGCGAAAGCGUGGGGAGCAAACAGG